rnacentral:rRNA from 1 species
CAGCCGCCGCGGUAAUACGGAGGGUGCAAGCGUUAAUCGGAAUUACUGGGCGUAAAGCGUGCGUAGGCGGUUCGUUAAGUCUGUUGUGAAAGCCCCGGGCUCAACCUGGGAACUGCAUUUGUGACUGCAUGGCUAGAGUACGGUGGAGGGGGAUGGAAUUCCGCGUGUAGCAGUGAAAUGCGUAGAUAUGCGGAGGAACACCGAUGGCGAAGGCAAUCCCCUGGACCUGUACUGACGCUCAUGCACGAAAGCGUGGGGAGCAAACAGGAUUAGAUACCCGUGUAGUCCCUGUCUCUUAUAC